rnacentral:rRNA from 1 species
GAUGAACGCUGGCGGCGUGCCUAAUACAUGCAAGUCGAGCGAAUGGAUUAAGAGCUUGCUCUUAUGAAGUUAGCGGCGGACGGGUGAGUAACACGUGGGUAACCUGCCCAUAAGACUGGGAUAACUCCGGGAAACCGGAGCUAAUACCGGAUAACAUUUUGAACCGCAUGGUUCGAAAUUGAAAAGCGGCUUCGGCUGUCACUUAUGGAUGGACCCGCGUCGCAUUAGCUAGUUGGUGAGGUAACGGCUCACCAAGGCAACGAUGCGUAGCCGACCUGAGAGGGUGAUCGGCCACACUGGGACUGAGACACGGCCCAGACUCCUACGGGAGGCAGCAGUAGGGAAUCUUCCGCAAUGGACGAAAGUCUGACGGAGCAACGCCGCGUGAGUGAUGAAGGCUUUCGGGUCGUAAAACUCUGUUGUUAGGGAAGAACAAGUGCUAGUUGAAUAAGCUGGCACCUUGACGGUACCUAACCAGAAAGCCACGGCUAACUACGUGCCAGCCGCCGCGGUAA